rnacentral:lncRNA from 1 species
AUGGUCAAAAUAGUCCUGAAGUCAAAACCUGGUGGAGAUAAAAUAAAGUCUGAAUAUGAUAAAACCAAAACUUUGUCAGACAGCAUCCGCACACAGUUCCAUGCUUGUUCCGGACAUGACUGAAGUUGGGUAAGAAUUUGAAUAUAAAUGAUGGAUUAUGAAUAUGAUCCGAAGUUAAAAAAAAAAAAAAAAAAAAAAUUAAGUACCCUUUUAGUAUGAUUUUUGUUGAAAGGUUAUUUUGUCCCCAAUUCCCUUUGUUUACCAAUGUCCCUGCUUUAUGUCUCAAAACAGAAGAACUCCUCUACAAACUGUGUGGACAAAGUAUGCACUAGGUAUCGUCACUUUGCUUCCUAACCUGGAGGACCCAUACUUUAAAAACGGAUAUGUAAGUUCUUUUUUUCAGAUUAUACAGUGCUAAAAAAUUAAGCACUUAAAAAAAUAAAUGAUUUGCCUUAAUUUUUUAAAACUUGUUUGCUGGGCUCUUUGGGUUUUUUAUUUUUAUUUUUUAUGAGCACUUCUACGAUGUGUCUAGUGGCACUGGGUACCUAGCCUGGCGCUUAAAAACUGUAAAGAGAAGUACUGCAGUUGGUGAAAAUAACAGACCAGAGUCAACUGAAACCAACAAUGGUCCACUCUCAGAGUACCAUUUUCAAACACCGAACAGCUGACCAGAGAUGAGUACAGAGAGACAAUAUCAGCUAUGAAACACACUUCAGAUGAGACCGUUGUUAGGGAAAAAUGAAGAUAACAUUUCAAUACAGACAGGCUAUGGUCCAUAGUCCAGAGAAGUCUCUAGAUGUAUUGGACAUGUUCCUUAAAUUCCUGGACACACCUGGCCUUAUUGUACAAGAUUUUUUGCUACUUUUUGGAGAAGAGUGGCCAACCUACUUCAAAAAGAGAGUGAUCAAUGACAGCAAAGGAUUGUCCUCCAGUCACCACAUUGAAGAACUCAUCAAAGAUGCUCAGCAUGAACCUGGUGAUGGUACGAUUUAACACGUAUCAUAAAAAGGAAUCAUGGGCACAAGGACCAAAGACAAGAAUUGCUUUAAUAUUUGUUGUGUUUUAGUGUGUUGAUACUUCAUAAGACUUAUUUUGAGUACUUGUACAGACCAGUUACUUAUUUUUUUAUUUAUUUUAUUCUUUCUUGGUCUAUUUUUGACUCUACAGGGUGGGAUAGUGACAUCUCAGCCUUACUGUUGCUGCUGUAUCUCCUGCCCCCAACUCCAAAGGGCCACAAGAAGGCAGUAAAGAUCAGCCCCCUUCAGGCAGCUGACCAUGAGGUGCGAUUUCUUAGGGUGAGUUUUAAUGUGUUUUUAAGUAAUUCUGAAAUCCACAGUGGCAGAGAGGUGCAAAAUAAAUCACAAUUGACCGAUCGGUAAGCCCCUCCCCUCGAACGCAGAUGAGCCAAUGGCAGUUGAAUAUCAGUUGCAUAGGGAGCGGAACUCGGACAUCUUUAAGUUACAGCGCCAUAGAGAAACAUUGGAAGAUCUGAAGCUCGCAUCAGUUUAAUGGUGUUUAUGCUGCAAAAAUGGAAAGACAAUGUGCCUAGGGUAUUUGUAACAUUUAUUUCAAUUAUCCUGAGAGGAUAGGCAAUGGAAUUUAUUUCAUUCCAUUUCCUAAAUCCAACCAAAACAGAGCAAAAUGUCCCCAAGCAUUCAAUCCCAAUCACAAUGAAGAUGAAAACAUUCAUUUUCUAGUUGUCAUACUCUCAUUAAGUUACACUUUACAUCUGUUCAAGCAGAAUGUUAAUGUCAUAUUGUGCUUCAGCGAGGUAUCUCUGGCUAAAACUAACUAAAGUUAACGUUAAAGUUAGUGAUUCCAUGCUAACAUGCAAACCUAAAUAGUGAACUGCUCUCAUGUCAUGUAUUGCGCAGUGAAAGUCAAAAAACACAUAAACAAAGGUCUACAUGAGAGUGCUUCUCCAUUAAUCUGGUUAAAUGUAAAUGGGACAGUUGGGACAGUUACAGGCCUUCCGGUUUUCAUCCAAAAUAUCUUACAUUGUGUUCCGAAGACGAACAAAGCUUUUACAGGUUUGGAACGAUAUGAGGGUAAGUGAUUAAUGACAAAAUAUUUAUUUUGGGGUGGAGUAUCCCUUUAAGCAGAAAAAUAUAAAAGGCCUUGAUGUAUUAUUAAUAUAGUCACAGCUAAAGGGGCUGUAUGUGAAGUAGAGUGUGAGUAAACCCUCAGUUACAACUAUAUGAAAGAUAUGGCAAUGACUUAGGACAUCAAAAAAAUCAAGCCACAGCUCCAGCAUAUUCGUAUUCUGUAGUAUACUUACUCAUUAUAUUAAAUUAAUAGGAAGUUAUACAGCCUUAGAAAACAUUGGCUAACAAGAUCAUUUUUUGUAAAUGAAGUCUCCCUGUACAUUCUUACAAUCCAAACUAUUACAUAUGGGGUAAUUUUUGCUGUGAAACUGCCUUUACAAUUUAUUUUUUGAUCACUACCGAGCACAAAUUGCUUGUUAGCAUGGCAACUGCUUGGUGGGUCAACAUUGAACACUUCUUAUGUGUUGUACUUCAAGCUCAGGAAAGAGGCUCUUUUUGUGCAAUUAAAUUUUUAGAUUUGGUAGACAACCAAAAUGGGUAAUACCGCCACGCGUACCGCUGCCGCAAGGCCAUGGCGUUAACUGCAAGUCAGUCGCGUGUUAAAAUCAUUCACGAAACUACCACCAGGUGGUGCAAAAGGAAGACGUAAAACAACACUAACAUUAUAAUAUACAUUAUAACAUCCUUAAAAGCCAUUAAAAAUAGGAUAGUCUUAGGCUACAGUCUACUCAUACAAAAAAAAUUAAAAGAAAAGACCUUUAACACAAACCCAUUUGCAGAGCGAAAUGAGAACGGUCCAGCAUUUACAAAUAAUUCUUAACUCUUGAUUCUUGAUUUUUCCAACUGCUAACACUUUGCAUUUUUGAA